rnacentral:piRNA from 1 species
AUGUGGUCAAUUUUGGAAUAGCUAUGGU